rnacentral:rRNA from 1 species
UACGGGGGGUGCGAGCGUUGUCCGGAAUCACUGGGCGUAAAGGGCGCGUAGGUGGCCUGAUAAGGGUGUGGUGAAAGUCCGGGGCUCAACCCCGGAUCGGCCGUGCCGACUGUUAGGCUAGAGUACUGUAGGGGCAGGCGGAAUUCCGGGUGUAGCGGUGGAAUGCGUAGAGAUCCGGAAGAACACCGGUGGCGAAGGCGGCCUGCUGGGCAGUAGCUGACGCUGAGGCGCGACAGCGUGGGGAGCAAACAGG